UAGGGAAUCUUCGGCAAUGGCGAAAGUCUGACCGAGCAACGCCGCGUGAGUGAAGAAGGUUUUCGGAUCGUAAAACUCUGUUGGUAGAGAAGAACGUUGGUGAGAGUGGAAAGCUCAUCAAGUGACGGUAACUACCCAGAAAGGGACGGCUAACUACGUACCAG
rnacentral:rRNA from 1 species